rnacentral:tRNA from 2 species
GGGCCCGUAGCUCAAUUGGAGUAGAGCGAGGGACUUCUAAUCCCUAGGUUGAGGGUUCGAUUCCCUCCGGGCCCGCCA